AUAGAUUCUUGGCCUUUUGGCUAUGAUCAAGUGUAAUACCUGCUCUUAUCAGUUUAAUAUCUAACGCAUCCUUGUCUGAGAACAAUAUAGUAAAUGAAUUUUUGGUUCAGGGAGCUUGCUCUGUCCACUCCACACAUUGACCCUACAUUGCAGUACUUCCAGGAAUGGUGCAUCCCAU
rnacentral:snRNA from 1 species